AGGACGAACGCUGGCGGCGGUGCUUAACACAUGCAAGUCGAGCGGUAAGGCCUUUCGGGGUACACGAGCGGCGAACGGGUGAGUAACACGUGGGUGAUCUGCCCUGCACUUCGGGAUAAGCCUGGGAAACUGGGUCUAAUACCGGAUAUGACCUCAGGUUGCAGUGACUUGGGGUGGAAAGAUUUAUCGGUGCAGGAUGGGCCCGCGGCCUAUCAGCUUGUUGGUGGGUAAUGGCCUACCAAGGCGACG
rnacentral:rRNA from 1 species